AGUGAACGCUGGCGGUAGGCCUAACACAUGCAAGUCGAACGGCAGCACAGUAAGAUCUUGCUCUUACGGGUGGCGAGUGGCGGACGGGUGAGGUAUACAUCGGAAUCUACUUUUUCGUGGGGGAUAACGUAGGGAAACUUACGCUAAUACCGCAUACGACCUACGGGUGAAAGCAGGGGAUCUUCUGACCUUGCGCGAUUGAAUGAGCCGAUGUCGGAUUAGCUAGUUGGCGGGGUAAAGGCCCACCAAGGCGACGAUCCGUAGCUGGUCUGAGAGGAUGAUCAGCCACACUGGAACUGAGACACGGUCCAGACUCAUACGGGAGGCAGCAGUGGGGAAUAUUGGACAAUGGGCGCAAGCCUGAUCCAGCCAUACCGCGUGGGUGAAGAAGGCCUUCGGGUUGUAAAGCACUUUUGUUGGGAAAGAAAAGCAGCAGGUUAAUACCCCGCUGUUCUGACGGUAACCAAAGAAUAAGCCCCGGCUAAAUUCGUG
rnacentral:rRNA from 1 species